ACUCCUACGGGAGGCAGCAGUGGGGAAUAUUGGACAAUGGGCGCAAGCCUGAUCCAGCCAUGCCGCGUGAGUGAUGAAGGCCUUAGGGUUGUAAAGCUCUUUUGUCCGGGACGAUAAUGACUGUACCGGAAGAAUAAGCCCCGGCUAACUUCGUGCCAGCAGCCGCGGUAAUACGAAGGGGGCUAGCGUUGCUCGGAAUCACUGGGGCGUAAAGGGGCGCGUAGGCGGCCUUGUAAGUUGGGGGUGAAAGCCCGUGGCUCAACCACGGAAUUGCCUUCGAUACUGCUUGGCUUGAGUGUGGUAGAGGUUGGUGGAACUGCGAGUGUAGAGGUGAAAUUCGUAGAUAUUCGCAAGAACACCGGUGGCGAAGGCGGCCAACUGGACCAUCACUGACGCUGAGGCGCGAAAGCGUGGGGAGCAAACAGGAUUAGAUACCCUGGUAGGAUAGCG
rnacentral:rRNA from 1 species